UUUUAUGGAGAGUUUGAUCCUGGCUCAGGAUGAACGCUGGCGGCGUGCCUAAUACAUGCAAGUCGAGCGAACGGACGAGAAGCUUGCUUCUCUGAUGUUAGCGGCGGACGGGUGAGUAACACGUGGAUAACCUACCUAUAAGACUGGGAUAACUUCGGGAAACCGGAGCUAAUACCGGAUAAUAUUUUGAACCGCAUGGUUCAAAAGUGAAAGACGGUCUUGCUGUCACUUAUAGAUGGAUCCGCGCUGCAUUAGCUAGUUGGUAAGGUAACGGCUUACCAAGGCAACGAUGCAUAGCCGACCUGAGAGGGUGAUCGGCCACACUGGAACUGAGACACGGUCCAGACUCCUACGGGAGGCAGCAGUAGGGAAUCUUCCGCAAUGGGCGAAAGCCUGACGGAGCAACGCCGCGUGAGUGAUGAAGGUCUUCGGAUCGUAAAACUCUGUUAUUAGGGAAGAACAUAUGUGUAAGUAACUGUGCACAUCUUGACGGUACCUAAUCAGAAAGCCACGGCUAACUACGUGCCAGCAGCCGCGGUAAUACGUAGGUGGCAAGCGUUAUCCGGAAUUAUUGGGCGUAAAGCGCGCGUAGGCGGUUUUUUAAGUCUGAUGUGAAAGCCCACGGCUCAACCGUGGAGGGUCAUUGGAAACUGGAAAACUUGAGUGCAGAAGAGGAAAGUGGAAUUCCAUGUGUAGCGGUGAAAUGCGCAGAGAUAUGGAGGAACACUAGUGGCGAAGGCGACUUUCUGGUCUGUAACUGACGCUGAUGUGCGAAAGCGUGGGGAUCAAACAGGAUUAGAUACCCUGGUAGUCCACGCCGUAAACGAUGAGUGCUAAGUGUUAGGGGGUUUCCGCCCCUUAGUGCUGCAGCUAACGCAUUAAGCACUCCGCCUGGGGAGUACGACCGCAAGGUUGAAACUCAAAGGAAUUGACGGGGACCCGCACAAGCGGUGGAGCAUGUGGUUUAAUUCGAAGCAACGCGAAGAACCUUACCAAAUCUUGACAUCCUUUGACAACUCUAGAGAUAGAGCCUUCCCCUUCGGGGGACAAAGUGACAGGUGGUGCAUGGUUGUCGUCAGCUCGUGUCGUGAGAUGUUGGGUUAAGUCCCGCAACGAGCGCAACCCUUAAGCUUAGUUGCCAUCAUUAAGUUGGGCACUCUAAGUUGACUGCCGGUGACAAACCGGAGGAAGGUGGGGAUGACGUCAAAUCAUCAUGCCCCUUAUGAUUUGGGCUACACACGUGCUACAAUGGACAAUACAAAGGGCAGCGAAACCGCGAGGUCAAGCAAAUCCCAUAAAGUUGUUCUCAGUUCGGAUUGUAGUCUGCAACUCGACUACAUGAAGCUGGAAUCGCUAGUAAUCGUAGAUCAGCAUGCUACGGUGAAUACGUUCCCGGGUCUUGUACACACCGCCCGUCACACCACGAGAGUUUGUAACACCCGAAGCCGGUGGAGUAACCUUUUAGGAGCUAGCCGUCGAAGGUGGGACAAAUGAUUGGGGUGAAGUCGUAACAAGGUAGCCGUAUCGGAAGGUGCGGCUGGAUCACCUCCUUUCUAA
rnacentral:rRNA from 1 species